rnacentral:rRNA from 1 species
ACGCUCGACACCUACGGGAGGUAGCAGUUGGGAAUAUUGGACAAUGGAGGAAACUCUGAUCCAGUGACGCCGCGUGAAGGAAGAAGGUCUUCGGAUUGUAAACUUAUUUUGUCAGGGAAGAAAAAUGACUGUACCUGAAGAAAAAGCACCGGCUAACUACGUGCCAGUAGCCGCGGUAAUCUGAGCGGGCUGGCAAGGC